rnacentral:lncRNA from 1 species
CCUGAGAAUAGCUCAGCUACUUAAUGAGGAAAAUCCCUUAAUCACAUUGUGUGUGUGCCUCUUGUGUUAAGCAGUCCCUCCCUAGUUCAGCACCUCUUUAGGACACAGUUAAACAACAGAUCCACUUUAUUCCAUCCCCUUGGAAUAACAUAUUUAAAUUUCUUAUUGGUUUAAUUCGUUUUUCUCACAUCCCGAGUUUUCAAGGUAAAGCCAAGUAAUGUGGAAACUACCUAUUUCUACUGUGUACUAACAUGCAUUUAACUACAGUUGACCUUUGAACAACAGGGGGUGGAAACUGUGUAGGUCUACUUAUGCAUGGAUUUUCUUCCGCCUCUCCUACCUGAGACAGAAGACCUUUGCCUUCUCUUGCUCCUUCUGCUCAGCCUGCUCAACCUGACGGUGAUGAAAACUGAAGCCCUUGAUGAUGAUCCACUUCCGCUUAAUGAAUAGCACUGUAGAAGUCUCGCAUAUAUGAUCAUUUAAAAUUUCGCUGAAGUCAUGUCUGAAUUCUGCACACUGCCUUAUGGAUGUGGGAGAGGUGACUAAACUGAGUCAACGCAGUCAACCACCCAGGACUUGCAAUUCCAGGGGGUUGCAUCCACCUAACCCUCCGGGGUUCUGGCUUCGGAUAGUGUUUGAUCAAUGGAAGCAACAAAAGAAGAUUGGAGGACAUGAAGACAGGUUACUGGAUGAUAUUCGACAUGAGCUGCAAUCCUCCAUCUGAGGUCCCAACUUUUCCAGAAGGCUUCUGUCCUGUUGCGCUCAUUGGAUUCUGCAUUAUGGGAUUCUCUUGAAGUGUGUGAAGAAUAAUGAGCUAAAUAAAGAGGAAAAACAAAAGAAAACAAAAACUGCAGGGACUUUUAUAACUAUCAUUGAUUGCCAGCUUAAGCCUGCUGGACUCUUCACAAAACUAUAUAUGCUUCAAGCUUAAUAUUUAAUUUUGUAAUUGGAACAUUUAUAAUCAUAUUAUGCAUUUAAUAAGGAUGCUCUAAUUCAGAUUUACUAUUAUCAGGAAAUUAAAUUUGGAGUUACAGUAAUGCAUGCAUAUAUAUGUGUGGGUGUGAGUGUGCAUAUACCUAUAUAUGUAUAUACAUAUAUAAAGUAAACGCCUUCUUUUAACGUGUGUUUUAAGUAUAGCUUCCAUGUCCUAGUUAAUUCAGCACCCUCCCUUUUAUCCUUUCCUUGCCAUUGUCCUCUCUACUAGACUACAAUAAAAACAAAAAACUAUGAAAGUAAGCAGCUUAUAAUCAUAAUUUUAAUCAAUGUAGCCUAUGCAAGCUUUAAGAAACAUACGUCUAACAUCUUAGAAAGAAAGCUUAUGAACACAAACAGCAGAAUACUUAAAUACAUUUGAAACAUUCACAUUGAAUUGAUUCUACAAAAUUUUGAAGAGCAACAGCUUUUGAAUUUAGAGCUAUAAUCAGUACCCUAAAGUUUUUACCACUGAGUUACUACCUAGUAAAAAUAUGUUAUAUUUGCAAUAAAAGUACACAUUGUAAGGACAUAAGAAUUGUCAUCAAGGUACACAAACAUUUUAGAAUUAUUAAACAUUUAAAUAAAUGGAAAUUUUAAAAAUAAAAUAACAAUAUUAUCAUACAAGUUAAUGAUCCAGUUUAUUAAUUUCUAAUUCUAUUGAUAAAACAAGGGAUUAUUUUUGAAAGGGUUUUUCUAUCUUUCAUACAAACCCUUUCCAAAAAUGUAUAGAUACAGUACGGAUUCUACCUGAUCAUUCUUGUGCAUAUGGUGAUGUAAGAAACCAAAAAAAUGUAAAUUAUUUUCAUAACACUGUGAAAACCAAUAUUUAAAAAUACAGUGCACAAUUAGUAGUGAGUAACAUAUAUAAAUUUAGAAAUAUUAUAUUUCUGUACACAAAGUAACAUUAUAAAUGAAAGCUUCAGGAAUAAUGAGCUACUUAUUAUUCCGGAAAUUAUAUAUCAAAAAUUUCAAAUAUAGAGGAAAAUUAAAAACCCACUCAUGACCCAUGAAAAUUAAUAACCCAUUCGAUCAUACACUUACCAUGUAACUUUCUGUUAAUUUGGUAAUAAAUAAUGUCAAGAGAUUUUAAAUGAAAAUACUUAUUCUGAAACAUAAAAACAACAUCUGAGAUGAGCACAAAUGGAUCAAUAGAUACAUUAUUGAUUAUUUUGUAUCAUAAAAUACUAUCUAGUACAACAUUCUUUAAAAAAUUCAAUAUUUUUAUAAUGUAAGUAAAACGGGAAGAACUGUUAGAGAAAUGGGCAUCAGAUUUAGAUUAAUUCUGCCUCUAACGCAAAUUGUAGGCUGAGCCCUAUAUGUUCUUGACCAUUCUAAGUUUUACUACAUUAAAACACAUAAAAUAUUCUGCGAGGUUUUCUCCAAUGGGAUUUUGAAUCUCACUGAUGACUGUGAUUUAGGAGUAAUGUAGAGAGUUUUGCAACUAACUUUACUUUACACCGUUACUCCUUUUCUACUUGGGGGUUCAGUUCAACACGCUAGUAAAAGAAAUAGUCAUGAGAGCAUCCUAAGGAAAGUAGGCAAAAUGUUAGUGCCUCAUUAUAUUUACAAUCUUUACAAAACAUGUAUGUCAGUAAACCAUAUUAACAUCUAAAGCACAUGAUAUGUAGAAACAAAUUGUGACUACAAAAUGUGUCUUGUUUCUUAAAUAUGCUAAAUAGGAAAUAAAUCACAUCUACUUCAAUUUUUAAUCUGUGGACUUUGGCCUUAGUUUGUGUUUUAUUUUAUUUUUUUGCUUUUGAUUUUAACCACUGAAAUCAUUUACCAAUACUAUAAGCCAGGAAAUACAAUGUAACUGGCCAGUUGAGAAUUAAGCCUUCUCUUUUUAUUAUUACAAUCAAGGGGGGAAAUGCUUAUAUAUCUUCCUGCACAAAAUGUUUCAUUUAUCAAAAAAAAAAGUGAGAAAAAUAAAGAAAAUUUGGGUGAGAUAAAUAAUCCACAACUAUUAAUUCAACAGAUAUUAUUUAAGAAAUUCCUACCUGUAAUUUAUUUUCUAAUAUUUCUGCAUCCUUAGUAUUUAUCGCUCAAAGAUAUUUGCAGCCCUCAUAGCAGUGCUUGGAAAAGAGAUUUGCUCUGAAAAUUUAGAAAUAAAUUCCUGAGGUGAAUACAGUUCAAAACUAAAAUAUAUUGCUGUAUUAUAUUGGUUUUUCUCAUUUGAAAUUAAAAUCUAAAAAACCUUCAUAUUAGGUUGUGUGUGUCAAGCUGCCAUUAUAAAAACACUAAAUGAAUAAAAUUUCGCAAGCAAGGCAGCAUUAUCAGGCUAAGUACAUGUAGUGGGCUUAUAUAUGGUGAUGUUUUACAUAAUUCAGCUAUUAAUUCAUCUAUAGAUUUACAUUUCUUAAGUGCAAAAAAAAAUGUAAUUAUUUCAUUACAUAUGGAAUUCACCUCCCAAAUUUCUCAGAAUCUAAGAGAAAGGAUUGACAUUUUCUGAUAUUUCAUUUUUGCUUAAAAUUAAGUUCUUAGGAUGUUUAGAUUUUAUUAUAAAUAUUACAACUUAAAUUCCAGAGUUAUAAUGAACGGUCUAUGUUUUGAAACACAGAGGGAGAAUGGGGUAAUGACUGAAGUACUGUUUUUUCAGUUUAUUAGUAAAGAUCAGCUUAUAAGAUGUCAUUGUAAAGGUUUCUAUUGAUAAUUACCAUAAACAAAGAUUAAAACUUUAAAUACUAAGUUCUGGAUUUCUAAGCCCGGUGAAAGUUUGUGCAAUACCAUGCCUUGCAUUUAUGAUUUUUCUUUUAAAAUGAACUAUAAAUGAAGAAAUUUACACAGAAUUGGAAACUAUUCCUACUUUUAUUUGCAUUCUUCCUUCCAUUCAUUGCUAAUGUUCAACAAUAAAGCAUUUUAAUUCUAAAGGAAUUGUUGCUUUUAACUUGAGUGUGAUUAUUUUAGAUCACAUUUUAGAGCCCUCAUGUAGGUCAAUGAUACUUAGAAUUUUUUAUGUCAGAUUACCAUUUUUAAAUGUUCACACCUAAAAUUAGUCUACCAGUCCAAGAUAAAGAAUGGAAGUUUUUUUUUGUACUCCAUUUGAUUUGUUCAAUACUUCACUUUAAUCUUCAAGAUCCAGUAUAUUAUUUUUUAAAUUCUAAAGCAAAUGCUGAAAAGCCACAAUCCAGUAACACAGAAAUGAAUAAUAACACUAAUUUAUUCCUUUCAGAAAACACAAUGAUUGAAAUAUCUUGGAAAUAUUACAAUAUCAUACUGAAUGAGGUUGAUAAGGUAUUACUCUGAGUUUAAGUUCCAACUUAUUAAAUGUAAUAUUUGCUAGUCAUUCUGCAUAGUCAAGCAUAUAGACAGACAUAAUUUGACAGCAAAGGUUUUAUGACAUAGUAGCUAUAAAUAAAAUAUUUGUAAUUUUACAAGAAUCUAAUAUGAUUCAAAACCUAGUAAAGUCUACCUCCCCAAAUCGCUCUUUUCUUUUUUGAUGUAAUUUCUAUUUUUUAUAAAAUAUGUAUCAUAAAUUUGAAUAGAAAAUAUCUAGAUAUGUACACUGUAUAACCAUGCACAAAAGCUAAAGUUCGAUCAAUGAAUUAAUUUUAGUUAUUUUAACUAAAACUGGGCAGUUUAUUCCUACUACUAGAUUGCUCAAAGAGCAACCAAAUGUAAUUGAAGCCAAGCAAUUCACACUAUUUAUAGACAUUUUUCAGAAUCACCUGCUUUGUAGUGAUUUUUUUCAGCAGUUGUAAAGUUUUGAUUUUUAAGAGUCCCUUUGAAGACGUGGCAGAUGUUGGCUUUGCUAAUAAUGCUGGAAAGCGUAGCAGGUUCAAAGUUACAAAAAUGUUUAACACAUAUAAAAUAUAAUGGUGUGUUUUUCUAUUAAAUUUGGUUAUUUUCAAUUGUCAAUAAACUUACAUAAAGGAAGCCUAAAGUCCAUAAAUAUUUGCUUCCAAAACAUGAAGCUGCUAGAGUUUGCAUAUGUGUGUGUCCAUGUGCAUUUGUGGAGGGAAAGUGCAUAAAAUAUAUGCUAGAGAAGCUUACGUAUUAUAGUUUUAAAUCGUUACUAUGAAUAAAAUUGUAAGGUUUAUAAAUAUUUAAGCUGUUUUUCAAUACUUUCUGGUGCUUAAAAUUCUAUUAGAAUUUAACACGGUAAUUAGAAUUAGCACAUACACAUACAGUCUAAGUAUUAGAUGCAGGGAUACAGAAUUUUGGUCCUGACUUUACCCUGGAUUUAUGUACUGAAUUUUCUCUCAACCAUAAAUGCAAAGUAAUUAUAAACUACCUAACAAAAUACAAAUGAUCUCACUAUAUAGGAUGACAUUUUUAUCUAAUACAAUUUUAAAUUUCAGGAGUUCCGAAAUCACUUCAAUUUUAUAUUUUAGAAAUAUUGAAAUACUAAAAUGUGCUAUAAGCAAUGAGAGAUAUACGUAUUAAUAGCAUACCAGGAUCAUAAUCAUUUUCAAUAUUGUUUUAGUUUGUGCUAGAUCAAGAUGUCUAUGAAAUAAAAUAUCUUUGAAGAUAAUUUAUGGAACACCUAAUGCAAUUGUUACACGAGAAAGAUAUCUUUAAUUUAAAUCUAUCUCAAUAUCUGACAAAUAUACCUUCAGCUGAAAUUGGCAAAUAAAAUUUUAUUUUCAAUAAGUGUACAUAGAUUUAAACAGAAACUAUUGUGAUUUUCCUUUUAGUCAAUAUUUCUUCAACAUAUCAAAGGAAAGAAAAGCUCAUUCUAAAUCCCCAGUAUUUUUAUCCUUGGUGAUGACUAAUUGUACUUUCCACUGAAGUUUUAAUCUGUUAAUAAUUUAUGUAGCUGACACAAACACUUAUAUUUGCUUGUUUUUCCAGUACCCUCAUUAUCAGCUUCAAAAUGUAGAAAUGAAUUUAAUUUUGUUAAAUGGUUAUUUCCCACUAAGUUGGGGGGGAGAGAUAAAUUAGUUUUGUUAAAUUAUUCCAUUUUUUAAAAAAAUUAUUAAAAUAAAUUAAGGGAAUCAGUUAUUGAAUUCCGUUUUCUCAGUUUUCCCCAAACAAAAUAACAUGUGCUUGUAUGAAAAUUGUUUGCCCUGAGAAACUUAAGGGCAAUGGCUCAGUUCAGGAAGCAUGAAGAACAAUCUAUCAUGUAGGUUUCUCAUUGCAAGAAAUAAAAUGAACCGUAAGAGCUUAUGGGAAUUGCAAGAGUACGCUCAUCAACCCGAACUGGGAUCUGCUUCCAAAGUUACACUGAUAUCAAAUGUUCAGUUUAUGAAAUUGUCACUGCAUUCUAAAAUCGACUGUUUUUCUAAUAAAAAUUGAAACCUUUUUGCUAUGAUUAACCUUUCAACUCACUAUCUAAAGAGAGUUUCACUUAUAGUUAGGAAAAUACAUUAAAUAUCAGUGACACUACUGGUAAUUUUCUUAUAAAAACUAAUUUGUGAUGGAACAUUAAAAGUUCACCCCCUGACCUUGGAAAAUAAAAGUUAGCUUUUGAGACCGUGAGAGAAGAAUCCAUCCUAUAGUAACGCUGAAGAACAAUUGAUAUUGCUGUGAAUGGUGAAGGAAUAUUAAAUAUGCGGCCAAUCAUUUUCAUUUAUGUGGCAUCUUACCUAAAGCUUUACACACGAUCAACAUUUUUCCAAUCCUUCAAACCAACAUAUGGGAUUACCUUCUAGGACUAUUAUUAACCCAAUUCCACAGAGGAAGAAAAAUAUGCAAAUAUUAUAUUAAACAAAUGACACCUUCCAAAAGUAUUUAAUCCAGGUUGCACUAUACCCACGAAAGAAAACUCACAAGUCUCUUAAUUUUAAAGUAUCUUUUAACAAUUUUAUAAAAAUACAGGUAGGUAAGAGCUUUGAAAACUUGUCUGGAAACUUUGAGUUUCUCUGGAUUGCUACAAUUUAUUCGGCACGUUGUGCCUUCAAGCACCAGAGGUCAGGAAGGUUCCCCUUUUGCAUGGCUGCUCAAAUUAUCCCCACUGAAAUCAGCGCCUCCUGCGCGCACCCUUGCAUACCCCUUUAGACACGUAUCUAACUAACAGUACCCGAGUUGCUGUUGCUUCGCAGUAUUUGUCUCUACUAAUACCCACUUGGUAGAGGGAUUUAUUUUCCACUUUUGAAACUUAGGUUCUGUAAUUAGCUUACACCACAUGGACAUGUACUAUUAAGGUUCGUCUUUCUUCCAGUGUGAGCAUCUAUUUAUUUACAAUUCUCUGACACAUUCCUUAAAAUCUGAAUUCCUAGAUAAUGUCUUCUUCCCCAAUAAAGGGAAAAUUUUACCAUUUGAAAUAGGGUGCUAUUUAAAGAACGCUGAAAUAAGAAUGUUAAAAAAAAAAAACUGAAACUUUUUUUUCUCAUGCGCUCUGCCAAGUUCCAUUGCAAGUUCCAAACAUUGUGCAAUAAUUUGGAAAUCCAGUUAACGAUGGGAAAAAUCGAGCCACUCAGAGUCGGCAACUUGCAAGAGAAAAGUCAAGAAGCGGCACCCGCACGCACGCCUGCCCAACGGACGCUGCAUCCCUGGGCGCACGCCCCUCCCUCCCCAGCGCUGGGAUGGAAGGUCACGCUUCACAAUCGAUUUCACAGCCACUUGUCCUUUUUUAUCAACCUUCUGGUAAACUAGUUUAGGACUUUGGAGGGCUUAGAGCUGCUGGCUGUAUACGCAUUGCUCUCGAAUAAACACGUGUCCCCAAAUAUCAGGACCAAAGCUUCACCGCCGAAUUUGGCCGCAGGAAGCCACAGAGGGCAACACAUUCCCAUCUUCCCUGCUGCCACCCUCCAGUGCGAGAAUCUCCCCUAGUAUCUCUCCGCCCCUUUUCCAGCCCGGCGCGCACUCUCGAGGGUGCCUGGCGCGCCCUUACCUGAGCUGUCGCUUUUCCUCUUGCCGCCGCUUCGCUUCUC